UACGUAGGGGGCGAGCGUUGUCCGGAUUCAUUGGGCGUAAAGAGCUCGUAGGCGGCUUGGCAAGUCGGGUGUGAAAACUCCAGGCUCAACCUGGAGACGCCACUCGAUACUGCCAUGGCUUGAGUCUGGUAGGGGAUCACGGAAUUCCUGGUGUAGCGGUGAAAUGCGCAGAUAUCAGGAGGAACACCGGUGGCGAAGGCGGUGAUCUGGGCCAGUACUGACGCUGAGGAGCGAAAGCGUGGGGAGCAAACAGG
rnacentral:rRNA from 1 species